AGGUUGUCGCGGCUCAGAAGCCACCCCUCACGGUUCCCCCACCCGGUCCUGCGGCCCCCAGGGCAGCUCCAGCGAGGAGAUAUGGGUGCUGCGCAAGCCUGGGCCAGGUGGAGACCGAAGUAGCGUGGGGAGUUCUGGCAGUGUGACCAGUGUGAGGUCAUCAGGGAGUGGUCAGAGUGCCGGGAGCUCCACCCACAUUCUCCACGCGCAGGCCGAGGGGGUUAAGCUCCUGGCUACAGUGCUGUCUCAGUCUGCCAAAGCCAAAGAGCACCUGCUGGAGCAGUCCAAGUCUGUAGAGCUAUCUACAGG